rnacentral:rRNA from 1 species
GACGAACGCUGGCGGCGUGCUUAACACAUGCAAGUCGAACGCUGAAGCUCAGCUUUUGUUGGGUGGAUGAGUGGCGAACGGGUGAGUAACACGUGAGUAACCUGCCCCCUUCUUUGGGAUAACGCCCGGAAGCGGGUGCUAAUACUGGAUAUUCACUGGUCUUCGCAUGGGGGUUGGUGGAAAGGGUUUUUCUGGUGGGGGAUGGGCUCGCGGCCUAUCAGCUUGUUGGUGGGGUGAUGGCCUACCAAGGCUUUGACAGGUAGCCGGCCUGAGAGGGUGAACGGUCACAUUGGGACUGAGAUACGGCCGAGACUCCUACGGGAGGCAGAAGUGGGGAAUAUUGCACAAUGGGCGCAAGCCUGAUGCAGCGACGCCGCGUGAGGGAUGGAGGCCUUCGGGUUGUGAACCUCUUUCGCUCAUGGUCAAGCCGCAACAAUGGUUGUGGUGAGGGUAGUGGGUAAAGAAGCGCCGGCUAACUACGUG